GACGGGGCCCGCACAAGCGGUGGAGCAUGUGGUUUAAUUCGAUGCAACGCGAAGAACCUUACCUGGGCUUGACAUCCCGAGAAUCCCCUGGAAACAGGGGAGUGCCUUUCGGGGAACUCGGAGACAGGUGCUGCAUGGCUGUCGUCAGCUCGUGUCGUGAGAUGUUGGGUUAAGUCCCGCAACGAGCGCAACCCUUGUCUUUAAUUGCCAGCAUUCAGUUGGGCACUUUAAAGAGACUGCCGGUGUUAAGCCGGAGGAAGGUGGGGAUGACGUCAAGUCCUCAUGGCCUUUAUGCCCAGGGCUACACACGUGCUACAAUGGGUGGUACAAAGAGAUGCCAACUCGCGAGAGCGCGCCAAUCUCAGAAAGCCAUCCUCAGUUCGGAUUGGAGUCUGCAACUCGACUCCAUGAAGUUGGAAUCGCUAGUAAUCGCGAAUCAGAAUGUCGCGGUGAAUGCGUUCCCGGGUCUU
rnacentral:rRNA from 1 species